UACAGGGGGUGCAAACGUUGCUCGGAAUCAUUGGGCGUAAAGCGCACGUAGGCGGUCUGUUAUGUCGGAUGUGAAAGCCCUUGGCUCAACUGAGGAAGUGCAUCCGAAACUGGCAGGCUAGAGUACUAAAGAGGAUCGCGGAAUUCCCGGUGUAGAGGUGAAAUUCGUAGAUAUCGGGAGGAACACCGGUGGCGAGGGCGGGUCUCUGGGCAACAACUGACGCUGAGGAGCGAAAGCGUGGGGAGCGAACAGG
rnacentral:rRNA from 1 species